rnacentral:lncRNA from 1 species
CUCCAGCAGCAAUACAAGCCGAGAAACGAGCAGUGUGCUGUCCGAAGGCGAGGGCCAUUCCAGGGAUUCCAAGCAGUUAACAAAGCACUGUGCUCCUAGAGUGAGCCAAGCAAAGGGGGAAAUAACACAUCGUCAAAAGGAUGCAAAAGACAUUUUUCCUCUUCCUUACUGACAAGUUGACUUGUACUGAAAUGCAAAGAUCAGUCAUCAUCUGAGCCUCUCUGUUCAGGGUGGACUUCACUCUUCCUCAGUUUAGAGGUUAAGCUCUCAGUACUUCUACCCUGUGUUGCCCUGAAUGUCUGAGUGAACUCUGAAA